rnacentral:lncRNA from 1 species
UAAUUGUUUUAAAAUAUUUUCUUAUUUCAUAAGAAUCCAAAAAAAUAUUUUUUAUAUUCCUUAAUGUUAUAUUUAAUUUAUUUUAAUUUUAAUUUUCAUAUUUAUUUAAUGUUAAUAUUUCAUUUUAAUUGUUUAUUCUAAAUGGUUCAUUUUGACACACUUGUUUUUGUUUAUUUUAUUUUCAUGACAUAGAAUUAUUUUUAACUUCUGAUUUUUGGGAUGAGGGUUGACCAAUGUCUCAUGGUCAACUUGACCUUUUAUUGGAAUUUUAUUUCCC